CUUUCAUUAUGCUCCAUUCAUUAGAGUUUUUUGUAUGAAAGGCCAACAAGUUGAUUUAAAAAUGAGUUUACCUAUGGAUGCACCUACUUCCAAUGUCAUUCAAGAUUCCGUUGGAAAUUCUGCUGAAGGUGAUUCAUCAAAACCUUAUUGGUUGAGAAGUGCUGCUAAAAAGUCUGACCACAAAAACGCUGCAAAUUGCUCAACUUAUAAGGCUUCGAAGUCAGUUGCACCACGACCAAA